UUUCGCCCUCAAAUCAGGUAGGACUACCCGCUGAACUUAAGCAUAUCAAUAAGCGGAGGAAAAGAAACCAACAGGGAUUGCCUCAGUAACGGCGAGUGAAGCGGCAAAAGCUCAAAUUUGAAAUCCUUCGGGAGUUGUAAUUUGUAGGUUGGGAGACCCCGCGGCUAGUGGCACCAAGUCCCUUGGAACAGGGCGCCUUAGAGGGUGAGAGCCCCGUAGGUACCACAAUACCGUCUUGUGUCUCCUCUCCAAAGAGUCGAGUUGUUUGGGAAUGCAGCUCAAAGUGGGUGGUAAAUUCCAUCUAAAGCUAAAUACCGGCGAGAGACCGAUAGCGAACAAGUACAGUGAUGGAAAGAUGAAAAGCACUUUGAAAAGAGAGUGAAACAGUACGUGAAAUUGUUGAAAGGGAAGGGCUUGCAAGCAGACACGGCCUUCGUGCCGGGCCAGCAUCGGUUGCUAGGGGUGGAUAAGGAACAAGGAAUGUAGCUCCUCGGAGUAUUAUAGCCUUGCGCGAUACACCCACUGGCGACCGAGGCCUGCGGUAUUCUUUACCUAGGAUGCUGGCGUAAUGGUUGCAAGCCGCCCG
rnacentral:rRNA from 1 species